GGGGAGGGGAGGGGGUCGCCCCCGCUCGGAGCGCGCCGCUGGGGAAGAGGCUGGCGGGAAGCCGGGCCGCGCGCCGAGGAAUCGAUGAUUCGGCCUGUGGGCCGGGUCACUGCGGCGGGGCCGGGGGAGCGCCGAUAGCGUGGAUAGGCUCAGAGGGGCGCAGGGUUUUGGCGGCUUCCCGAGUUCCCCUCGCCGACCGCCAUUUCGCGUCUUACGGGAGAGGCGGGGGCUGCCGCGGAGAGGAUAUUUUUUGUUUUGUUUUGUUUUCACAAGAAUUGCCUGGAUGCUUCUAAAGAGGAUGUCUACCAGACCCCAUCCCGCACUAAUUAACUUAGAAGUGGGAACCCUUUGCAAGCUCCAUGUUUUGUUCACGUGACUCUCACCCUAGUGUGGCCUGGACUCCAGUCCCUGGCUCAAGGAAAGCCCAGACUGACAUAGAAAAACCCUGCUCACCAGCCUUGACCUUGGGAGAAAGCCCCUGAUCUGUGAGUGGACAGAAGGCCUGGUGGUCAACCUGUGGGAGCCCUGGAGUGUGCACUGCUAAGGCCCCUCAGAAAAACUGGGAAGCCAAGACUUGACUGUCACGCCUGGAGAAUUAGAACAUGCCUGCUAAAUUGCGGCCCACUCUGAGGAAGGGGAGGGGCCACAAGGAAACCGAGUAGGUGGGGUUCUGGCUGGGGCUCCUCUGGAGUUCCCAGGGCAGAUGCCCAGGCCCCAGCUUAUAGACCAUGAUGCAGCUGGGCUUCUUUGUCUGAUUCUUAAGUGCCUCAGGUAAACAGACUCUCCUUUGCUUUGCCAGGAGGAAUGAAAUUACUAUCAGAAUUGUAAAAGUCUGUGGCCUUUGAGAGAGUAAUUUUACUUCUAAGACUCUCCUCCACAGAGAAGUGUGCACAUUGUUCCGAGUGGAGUCUAUAAAGAUAGCAACGAGCAAAGAGUUAAAACAGAAUGGCUCUGGGUUUUAAAAGUGCUGUGUAUCUAGACAAUGAACAGUCCACCCUUAACCAAACAAGCUCCACAUGUACUGAAGUAGAGAUAGCUCCAAACGUAUUAGGUAACAGACAGUGUGCCACAUGGCUCUGUGUGAUGGUAAGAUUACAUGUGUGCAUGUCAUCUCGAAAGGAGAGUUUGGGUUAUCUCUGGGGAGGGAGCCUGCAUCUUUUCUAAUUUGUCCCGAGUAUGGGGCGUGUAUCUAUCUCUCUGUCAGAAAUGUAAAGGGAAGAUUCCAUCACUGGCCUGACGCUCACAAAGGUUAGAACCAGUGCCAACCAUAAUGCCCACCUCUACUUUCAGGAGAGAGUAAACACCUUAGAAUACAAAGCCCAUAAACAACCAAAACUGUAGUGCCUGCUGGGGCUGGGCCUGAGCUGCACACAGAGGCUAGAUACUGAACAGCUGCCAUGGUGAACUGGCACAGUUAAGCACGCGGCUGAGUUCACACGCCCUCUGCCCUGACUUUAAAGACAGCAGUCUUGGCCCAGCCUCCCUCACCCACUAUGGGCGGAGAGCUGCACUUGCUGGGUUUCCAGCUCCUAUAUUUGGACUCCUCUUUUCUCUUUUUGAGAGAGGGUCUCACUAUGUAUUCGUGGCUGCUCUGGAACUUCCUGGACCAGGCUGGA
ensembl:processed_transcript RIKEN cDNA E130307A14 gene